UACAGAGGGUGCAAGCGUUAAUCGGAAUUACUGGGCGUAAAGCGUGCGUAGACGGUAGCGUAAGUCGGGUGUGAAAGCCCCGGGCUCAACCUGGGAACUGCAUUUGAGACUGCUCUGCUCGGGUGCGGAAGAGGGAAGCGGAAUUUCCGGUGUAGCGGUGAAAUGCGUAGAUAUCGGAAGGAACACCAGUGGCGAAAGCGGCUUCCUGGUCCGACACCGACGUUCAGGCACGAAAGCGUGGGGAGCAAACAGG
rnacentral:rRNA from 1 species